AUUAUCCUCUUUGGUGUUGGUGUUUUCACUUUUUACUAUGUUUUGUUGUGGGAGAGGUUUUGUUAUAGAAGGGAUUGUGAUGUUCAAGGAGGGUUUGCGGUUGCUUAGGUUUGAGGAUGACCUUGGAGGUUUGGAGAAAGUGGUUUGAGGGAUUUGAAAAUGGGUUUGUGUUUGUUUCAUGUUAUUGCUUUGAGAAAUUGAAUUUUGAAUUUCUAGGUUGUUUGAGGACCAAAAAGUGAAUUCUAUGUUUUGUUCCAUACUUCUAAAUUGAGGUUGUUCUGUUUUUUUGAAGAGGAUUAAGACUUAAGAGAGGAGUGUGCUAAAUU
rnacentral:lncRNA from 1 species